rnacentral:rRNA from 1 species
CGGAGAGGGCGCAUGAGAAACGGCUACCACAUCUAAGGAAGGCAGCAGGCGCGUAAAUUACCCAAUCCUGACUCAGGGAGGUAGUGACAAGAAAUAACAACCUGGGGGUCAAUUGACCUUACGGGAUUGCAAUGAGAACAAUCUAAAUCACUUAACGAGGAACAAUUGGAGGGCAAGUCUGGUGCCAGCAGCCGCGGUAAUUCCAGCUCCAAUAGCGUAUAUUAAAGUUGUUGCAGUUAAAAAGCUCGUAGUUGAACUUCUGGCGGUGUUUAGUUUCGGCUUUGGUCGGGCUAGGUACCGUCAUCCGUUUGCGAACUAGGUUCAUCCUUUACUGGUUGGCUUGGGGAGCAGACAAUUUACCUUGAAAAAAUUAGAGUGUUUCAGGCAGGCAAUCGCCCGAAUACAUUAGCAUGGAAUAAUGGAAUAGGACUUUUGUCCAUUUGGUUGGUUAUUGGACUUGAGUAAUGAUUAAUAGGGACAGUUGGGGGCAUUAGUAUUUAAUUGUCAGAGGUGAAAUUCUUGGAUUUAUUAAAGACUAACUUAUGCGAAAGCAUUUGCCAAGGAUGUUUUCAUUAAUCAUGAACGAAAGUUAGGGGAUCAAAGACGAUCAGAUACCGUCCUAGUCUUAACUAUAAACUAUACCGACUCGGGAUUGGAAGGGUCUUUAAAGCCCUUUCAGCACCGUAUGAGAAAUCAAGGUCUUUGGGUUCUGGGGAGAGUAUGGUCGCAAGGCUGAAACUUAAAGGAAUUGACGGAAGGGCACCACCAGGAGUGGAGCCUGCGGCUUAAUUUGACUCAACACGGGGAAACUUACCAGGUCAAAACAUGGGUGGGAUUGACAGAUUGAGAGCUCUUUCUUGAUUCUAUGGGUGGUGGUGCAUGGCCGUUCUUAGUUGGUGGAGUGAUUUGUCUGGUUAAUUCCGUUAACGAACGAGACCUUAACCUGCUAACUAGUUCCUUGGUGCGCAACCGGGGAAACUUCUUAGAGGGACUAUGAGAUUGAAGCUCAUGGAAGUCUGAGGCAAUAACAGGUCUGUGAUGCCCUUAGAUGUCCUGGGCCGCACGCGCGCUACAAUGACACGUUCAGCAAGUCCUAUCCUGGCUCGGAAGAGUUCGGGUAAUCUUUUUAAUACGUGUCGUGUUAGGGAUCGAUCUUUGGAAUUAUAGAUCUUGAACGAGGAAUUCCUAGUAAGUGCAAGUCAUCAGCUUGUACUGAUUACGUCCCUGCCCUUUGUACACACCGCCCGUA